AUGGCCUGGACCCUGCUGCUGCCCCUGCUCACACUCUGCACAGGUCUCUGUGCUCCUCCUGUGCUCACCCAGCCCCCAUCUGCCUCUGCCGCCCCGGGGGCCUCUGUCAAGCUCACCUGCACCCUGAGCCAGGAGCACAGCAGCUUCUAUAUUCACUGGUAUCAGCAGAGAGCAGGACAGGCCCCUCGGUUCCUCAUGCAACUUUACCGCAACGGGACCCACACCAAGGGGGACGGGAUCCCCGAUCGCUUCUCGGGCUCCAGCUCCGGGGCCGACCGCUACUUGACCAUCUCUCCCCUCCAGUCUGAGGACGAGGCUGAGUACUUCUGUGGUGCAGACUAUAACACUGGUGGCAAAUUCGGGGGGUUCCACAGUGACUCAGACAAAGGGGAAGUGGGGCUAAAACCUCCCUCCCUCUGUCUGCUCCUCCCCGGGGACUCGGGGACCUGCUCCCUGUCCCUCUCCAGGAUGCUGAGAUGCUGA